ACGAACGCUGGCGGCGUGCUUAACCCAUGCAAGUCGAACGGAAAGGCCUCUUUCGGGGGGUACUCGAGUGGCGAACGGGUGAGUAACACGUGAGUAACCUGCCCUUGACUUUGGGAUAACUUCAGGAAACUGGGGCUAAUACCGGAUAGGAGCUCCUGCUGCAUGGUGGGGGUUGGAAAGUUUCGGCGGUUGGGGAUGGACUCGCGGCUUAUCAGCUUGUUGGUGGGGUAGUGGCUUACCAAGGCUUUGACGGGUAGCCGGCCUGAGAGGGUGACCGGCCACAUUGGGACUGAGAUACGGCCCAGACUCCUACGGGAGGCAGCAGUGGGGAAGAUUGCACAAUGGGUGGAAGCCUGAUGCAGCAACGCCGUGUGCGGGAUGACGGCCUUCGGGUUGGAAACCGCUUUCGCUCAUGACGAAGCUUUGUGUGACGGUAGUGGGUAAAGAAGCACCGGCUAACUACGUG
rnacentral:rRNA from 1 species